UUUAUUUGACACCGUUGACUUUUUAGCACAUGUUUGACCGCUCGUCUUAUUCAAAAAAUUUAAAUAAUUAUUAAUUCUUUUGCUAUCAUUUGAUUCAUCGUUAAAUAUACUUUUUAUGCAUACGUAUAGUUUUACAUAUUUCACAAAAGUUUUUGAAUAAGACGAACGGUCAAACAUGUGCUAAAAAGUCAACGGUGUCAAAUAAA
rfam:Oryza sativa (indica cultivar-group) chromosome 11, whole genome shotgun sequence.